rnacentral:misc_RNA from 1 species
AGUUACAUUGCAACUGGAAGAUCAUGUUAAAACGAAAUGCCCAAGCCAAUGAUGCUAACAGCUUUGUGGCACAUUUGGUUUACCAAGGAAUCAUGAGAGAAGACAAAAUUCCCAAUUGUAGUACUCUUACUAUAAUAAAACAAAUGGGACCACAUGGAUGUUCAGGUAACACAAUCAUCAGCGCAAGACGUUCAGAGAACAAAUGGAAAUUCCCAAUAAGGUAGGGAAGCAAUUCAAAUCCUGGAGGAUACUCUGUUGGACACCAGAAAGAACUACAUCCAUUUUUAGCAGAACAUAGAAUCAAAGCAGAUUAUGUGUACCAAUCUUAUGGGCCUGAUCUGAUGAAAAGAUGAGUUUUUCGCCGAACUGCAUUUUGUCUUUCUAGGCAGAGGAACGGGAUUUAUCAGAGCCGCAAACUCUUGGUGACUUGCACCAAAAUCCAUGCACCUUGAUGAAAUGGAUUCCUGUCAUAGGUCAACUGACAUUCCGUGGUCUUCUCCUACUGGCAAUCGGAACGCAUGGACUAUUGGACUGCUAGUAGAAUCGAAAGAGUACGUUUCGCUACGACUCGAUUGGAUACAAUUUGUCAAACCUUGUGAGACAAGAGCGUCUUUUACAAUCAGAUCACAGUUUUCUAAAGGCACUAGAGGAGCGCAAAUCUUUACCUAUUUAUGCCUUCCAGAAUGCUGUUAUGGAUGCUGUUCACUGUAAUUCCGUUGUCAUAAUUCGUGGUAAUACGGGUUCUGGAAAAACCACUCAGGUUAGCUUGAUACCACAAGUUAAAUUAGGAUGAAAUUAUUUAUACUUUAAUUCAUUAAUGACCGGAAAUAAUGGAUUCUAAUUCUAAAUCUAAAUCUGUCCACCUAAGGUGUAUCGAGUCUACGGUAAUGAUCCCGAAUUAGAUGUGGUGAUUGGUCCCAUCGGAAUCGGCCAUUAUCCUAAUAUAUUCGCCAACAGAGAAAAACUAAAAGUACAAAUGGCUGAUGCUCGCUCAGGACCUUCUCUGAUUCACAAGUCUUCUGUCAACUGCCCAGAUUCAGAUGAAAUUGAAUUCCCGCUACCCUAUUUCGAUUUCAGCGAAAAAAUUGCGAUUUUCAUGCGACUGCGAUUUUCAUGCAGCCGAAUGCCCGAGCUCGCCUGCCUGUCAGAAUUCCAAACGUCCUUCAGACGAAAGAUAUAACAGCGAGUUCAAAUUUGGUCGCUACGAAACUCGUGUUGUAUCUCAUCAACCUUCCCUAUCAGUCAAAACUUUUCGUCAUGGAGAAACGAAUCGGUGAGCAAUGAAUCAAUUGGACCUUUUUCCACCGGUCAACGAGGAGUGGAUGGCAACUAGUGCGCAACUUUAGAGUACGAACGAAAACAAGAUGGCUAUUAGGAGGAUGAAAAGGCGCAAUCAGAGCACUGCAGCAUCUAUCAUCUAUCAUGCAUGUCCAGUUCCCAACGCUGAUGGAUUGAGUCUUGUAAUAGUAUAUCAAAGUACUCACUUCGGAAACAGUUUGGUUGUUUGAAUUCGUAUACGUGGAUCUCUUUAAAAUAAGACAAAAUCUAUUGUACUAUUCCAAAGCUUUGUAUGAUAUUUACGCUUUAACUUAAAUUAAAAUUGUGUGCAUGUAUGUUUGAAGAAUCCUCUUACUUAAAUACAAUGUCAAAUUACAACGUCAAA